ensembl:lncRNA
UAUAUAGUAGGAGAAAUACAUGUAUAUAGUAGGAGAAAUACAUGUGUAUAUAGUAGGAGAAAUACAUGUAUAUAGUAGGAGAAAUACAUGUAUAUAUAGUAGGAGAAAUACAUGUGUAUAUAGUAGGAGAAAUACAUGUAUAUAGUAGGAGAAAUACAUGUGUAUAUAGUAGGAGAAAUACAUGUGUAUAUAGUAGGUGAAAUACAUGUAUAUAGUAGGUGAAAUACAUGUAGAUAGUAGGAGAAAUACAUGUAUAUAGUAGGAGAAAUACAUGUAUAUAGUAGGAGAAAUACAUGUAUAUAGUAGGAGAAAUACAUGUAUAUAGUAGGAGAAAUACAUGUAUAUAGUAGGAGAA